AUGGGUACUCUUCAUUUGUGGAAAUGUUAUCGCGUUCGUCUGCAAUGCUUGGAUCCAGAGUGUCGUAUCAGUAGGCUUCGCAGAGUUAGCUUGGUGAUCAGUGGUCUGUUGCGGGAUCUACACUGUAAUCCAGUUCUUGAGCUUCGGCUGCUUGCAGUUCUGUUUCGGGGGUAUCGAUUGGGGUACGUGGUUAAGGUGACAUUUGCAGUGUUUGGUUGCUAA